rnacentral:sRNA from 1 species
UAGUUACAAAACUGGCACGUCCUCUGCUUAAGGAUAGGCAUACAUCAAGCGCAGCCUUCAAUGGCGAAUGGCGGCGCUCCCGAUUGAACGGGACCGGACAAAGGCGUCCUCGCACUCUAGUGAUUGUGCGAGACGCC